rnacentral:tRNA from 1 species
GGGGAUGUAGCUCAAACGGUAGAGUGCUCGCUUUGCAUGUGAGAAGUACGGGGAUCGGUACCCGCAUAACCA